rnacentral:tRNA from 3 species
GGGGGUGUAGCUCAGCCGGUAGAGCAGCGGCCUUUUAAGCCGUGGGUCAUGGGUUCGAAUCCCAUCGCUCCCACCA